AGCGAACGCUGGCGGCAGGCCUAACACAUGCAAGUCGAACGAACUCUUGGGAGUUAGUGGCGGACGGGUGAGUAACACGUGGGAACGUGCCUUUAGGUUCGGAAUAACUCAGGGAAACUUGUGCUAAUACCGAAUGUGCCCCCCGAUUCAUUUUGGGGUGGGAAAGAUUUAUCGCCUUUAGAGCGGCCCGCGUCUGAUUAGCUAGUUGGUGGGGUAAAGGCUCACCAAGGCGACGAUCAGUAGCUGGUCUGAGAGGAUGAUCAGCCACAUUGGGACUGAGACACGGCCCAAACUCCUACGGGAGGCAGCAGUGGGGAAUCUUGCGCAAUGGGCGAAAGCCUGACGCAGCCAUGCCGCGUGAAUGAUGAAGGUCUUAGGAUUGUAAAAUUCUUUCACCGGGGACGAUAAUGACGGUACCCGGAGAAGAAGCCCCGGCUAACUUCGUGCCAGCAGCCGCGGUAAUACGAAGGGGGCUAGCGUUGCUCGGAAUUACUGGGCGUAAAGGGAGCGUAGGCGGACAUUUAAGUCAGGGGUGAAAUCCCGGGGCUCAACCUCGGAAUUGCCUUUGAUACUGGGUGUCUUGAGUAUGAGAGAGGUGUGUGGAACUCCGAGUGUAGAGGUGAAAUUCGUAGAUAUUCGGAAGAACACCAGUGGCGAAGGCGACACACUGGCUCAUUACUGACGCUGAGGCUCGAAAGCGUGGGGAGCAAACAGG
rnacentral:rRNA from 1 species